AGUCUCGAUUCUAACACCUUCACAGUGGCCGCUGCGUUUCACACACCCUGCCUGGGAGGCCAGGCUCUGCUGUGCUGGUCUAGGCAUGAGCAGACAUCCCUUCUCCGACAACCGACCAAAGAACAGCUCCAGCCAAAUCCACCUUGGUGGGCCAAUGAAUCUAAUAGCCCUGCUCACUUAGAGGUGUGGGACGAUCCCCAAAUUUCCCAUCCAGUAUCAGUAAUGAUGUCCUAAAAUCUGCACAGAUGACUUCCCUCUGGUUAACUUCCAUUUUCUAUAUACUUGUAGUGCCUCCAACCCUCUUCAGUUACAUUGACUGUGUCAGCCCCGCAAGAGUCUACACAGCUGGCUGUGGAGCCAGGAAGGAGUGAAUUCUGCACUCUCAGCCACAUGGGAACAUUGGCAGACUCCAUCUUGUGGGAUCACUUGUGGUAAGGAAGCUGCUCUGCUUUCAGGAUGGUGAUGGCCCUGUCAUUGACAGGGGACAGAGUGUCAAAAUGGCCAUGGAUUUGGCCCUCUGGGUUUUAGUUUCCUCAACCUUAGAACAGGAAUAAAUUACACCUGCACAGCCUUCCUUGCCUCCACCUCCAACAUCUUCUUUAGUCCUAUUGGCCUAAAGGAGUAGAACAGGCUCUCUUUCUUUUUCACUUAAAAAUUUCAUAUCAAGGGGCUGGAGAGAUGGCUACAGUUAAGAACACUGACUGCUUUUCCAGAGGUCUUGAGUUAAAUUCCCAGCAACCACGUGGUGGCUCACAACCAUCUGUAAUGGGAUCUGAUGCCCUCUUCUGGUGUGUCUGAAGACAGUGACAAUGUAUAUAUAUAUAAAAUAGUUUUUUAAAAAUUUCCACAUCAAAGGGUUAGGGAGAAAGCUCAGUUGGUAAAGCACUCACUGCAGAAGCCUGGGGUCUCGACUCAACCCCCAGCACCCACAUAAAACAACCACCACCACCACCA
rnacentral:lncRNA from 1 species